rnacentral:rRNA from 1 species
UACGAAGGGGGCUAGCGUUGUUCGGAAUUACUGGGCGUAAAGCGCGCGCAGGCGGUCUUCCAAGUCAGUGGUGAAAGCCCGGAGCUCAACUCCGGAAAUGCCAUUGAAACUGUAAGACUUGAGGAUGAGAGAGGUGAGUGGAAUUCCCAGUGUAGAGGUGAAAUUCGUAGGUAUUGGGAAGAACACCGGUGGCGAAGGCGGCUCACUGGCUCAUUUCUGACGCUCAGGCGCGACAGCGUGGGGAUCAAACAGG